rnacentral:lncRNA from 1 species
UGCUCUUUCAUCUUUAAUCAGUAGGCUCUUUUCCCAAGGAAAAUGCCUCAGGGGAUUGUACACUUCAUUAGUGCAGUUAUUAAGAGUUCACUUUCAUAAUUAACUGACAAUGAAAAGUCAUUCAUGUAUAGCAUUUCAUAGUGCAUGGAAAACCAUGUACUAUGAAAAUUAGAGGGAAAAAAACUGACUUUUCAUUGGACGAGAAGGGGUGAGUAUGUUCUACAUCCCAGCUCCUUUGUUCUAGCAGGGGUGAUCUGAGCCGGAUCACCCCUACCAGAUCACCCCAGUUUGAGUGUCUUUGUUAUGCAUGCAUUCCUUUGUUCUGAAACAAUUUGACGGGAAGGACACAUCCACUGUAAAACUUAUAAUUAAUUAUACGGAAAAGACUAUGUAUCAAAAUUCACGUAGAAAAAAUCCAGUGUAUAUGCUGGGAUUCGAACUCAAGACCUUUAGCAUAUCAAGCCACGACACAUACCACUACACCAGGACGACUGGAUAUAAACGAACAGUAAUUUAACAUACUUAACGGAAGCAAGAUCUUUUGAUAAAUGGGUCGAGUUGGCAAACCUUUAUUCAGUGUGGUUUAAACAUUUUUCGUUAAUAAGUGAGAUAUCAGACUGAUUGUUCAAUUUGAUUUUACACUUUUUUAAAAGUAGAGAGAGUCGGUAAACAAGAGUGUGACGAUUUUUUUAUAUAGUGGCGAUAUAGUGUGGGCCGAUUGGCAGUGGGGCGAGUUGACAUUGUUUGAUAACUACUCAUCGUGUUCGGGGGUCACAAAGGGUAUACAUCAUAUAGUAAUAUAUAAAGUAUAUUAUAAUGGUUGUGUGGUGUUCUAAACUAGAUUUUAUGAAUUGUAAAUGGUUUUUCGUCUAAUCUAAAACAGCUGGGAUGUAAAAUAGUUAUCCCACUCGGACUUGGUGUGUCAGUGUUAGAUCACCCUCUGGCCUCCGGCCAUCGGGGUGAUCUUACACUGACACACCGCGUCAUCGUGGGAUAACUAUUAA